rnacentral:rRNA from 1 species
UGGGGAAUAUUGCACAAUGGGCGCAAGCCUGAUGCAGCCAUGCCGCGUGUGUGAAGAAGGCCUUCGGGUUGUAAAGCACUUUCAGCGAGGAGGAAGGUGGUGAACUUAAUACGUUCAUCAAUUGACGUUACUCGCAGAAGAAGCACCGGCUAACUCCGUGCCAGCAGCCGCGGUAAUACGGAGGGUGCAAGCGUUAAUCGGAAUUACUGGGCGUAAAGCGCACGCAGGCGGUUUGUUAAGUCAGAUGUGAAAUCCCCGGGCUCAACCUGGGAACUGCAUUUGAAACUGGCAAGCUAGAGUCUCGUAGAGGGGGGUAGAAUUCCAGGUGUAGCGGUGAAAUGCGUAGAGAUCUGGAGGAAUACCGGUGGCGAAGGCGGCCCCCUGGANGAAGACUGACGCUCAGGUGCGAAAGCGUGGGGAGCAAACAGAUUAGAUACCCUGGUAGUCCACGCUGUAAAACGAUGUCGAUUUUGGAGGUUGUGCCCCUUGAGGCGUGGUUCCGGAGCUAACGGUUAAAUCGACGCCGGGGAGUANGGCCNCAAGGUUAAAACUUAAAUGAAUUGCGGGUCUAGCGUUCC